GGUGAAGAACGUAGCGAAAUGCGAUAAGUAGUGUGAAUUGCAGAAUUCAGUGAAUCAUCGAAUCUUUGAACGCACAUUGCGCCCCUUGGUAUUCCAUGGGGCAUGCCUGUUCGAGCGUCAUUUGUACCUUCAAGCUCUGCUUGGUGUUGGGUGUUUGUCUCGCCUCUGCGUGUAGACUCGCCUCAAAACAAUUGGCAGCCGGCGUAUUGAUUUCGGAGCGCAGUACAUCUCGCGCUUUGCACUCAUAACGACGACGUCCAAAAGUACAUUUUUACACUCUUGACCUCGGAUCAGGUAGGGAUACCCGCUGAACUUAAGCAUAUCAAUAAGCGGUGGA
rnacentral:misc_RNA from 1 species